rnacentral:piRNA from 1 species
UCACUAAGAAAUUCUGAGUCA